GAUGAACGCUGGCGGCGUGCCUAAUACAUGCAAGUCGAGCGAACAGAUGAGGAGCUUGCUCCUCUGACGUUAGCGGCGGACGGGUGAGUAACACGUGGAUAACCUACCUAUAAGACUGGGAUAACUUCGGGAAACCGGAGCUAAUACCGGAUAAUAUAUUGAACCGCAUGGUUCAAUAGUGAAAGACGGUUUUGCUGUCACUUAUAGAUGGAUCCGCGCCGCAUUAGCUAGUUGGUAAGGUAACGGCUUACCAAGGCAACGAUGCGUAGCCGACCUGAGAGGGUGAUCGGCCACACUGGAACUGAGACGCGGUCCAGACUCCUACGGGAGGCAGCAGUAGGGAAUCUUCCGCAAUGGGCGAAAGCUUGACGGAGCAACGCCGCGUGAGUGAUGAAGGUCUUCGGAUCGUAAAACUCUGUUAUUAGGGAAGAACAAAUGUGUAAGUAACUAUGCACGUCUUGACGGUACCUAAUCAGAAAGCCACGGCUAACUACGUG
rnacentral:rRNA from 1 species